UUCCUAUGAUGAGUUCGCCAUGCUAAUACUGAUGCGCUUGGGCGCAAAUGCGUUCAACUGAACUUCUCACACUAACAGUGUGCUCUGAUGGAA